rnacentral:tRNA from 1 species
GGCCCCUUAACUCAGUCGGUAGAGUGUGAGAUUCCAAGAGGUGCUGCACCACGGUGUUAUCUCAAAGUCAAGCGUUCAAGUCGCUUAGGGGUCA